UACAUGGGGUGCAAACGUUGCUCGGAAUUAUUGGGCGUAAAGCGCACUUAGGCGGUUCGUUAAGUCGGAUGUGAAAGCCCUCGGCUCAACUGAGGAAGUGCACCCGAAACUGGCGAGCUUGAGUACGAAAGAGGAUCGCGGAAUUCCCGGUGUAGAGGUGAAAUUCGUAGAUAUCGGGAGGAACACCGGUGGCGAAGGCGGCGAUCUGGGUCGAUACUGACGCUGAGGUGCGAAAGCGUGGGGAGCAAACAGG
rnacentral:rRNA from 1 species